GAAAAAAAUGGACUUAGUGGGUCUUUGAAUUUAAAUAAAAUAAACAUGUAUAUGCAACACAAAAUAUUUAUAUUCCUUGUGUAAACAUAAUUUAAUUGAUUAGGAUUAAAAUGUUUUGUUUGAAUGUAAAAUGAACACAUUAUUCUCACAUUGAUUAAAAUUGAUUGAAUUGAAUACUUAAAGCAAUAAAAUUGGGUUUGCACACAAAACGGCACCUCCUGAGCAGCAGGGGCAGUAUAGCUCAAUGAGAAGGACAUCGAUUGCCAUAAAAGAAGAAUAAAGAUCGUUUGUUUUGGGCGCCAAAAUGAAGACUCAGCAGCAGUCAGUCAGUCAGAAGAACUCUCUCAGACGGACACCACGUUAUUAAAGUCCAUCAUCCUUUCAUGCGCUACACACUCAAAAGCAUUGAUAAAUGCUGAAUUUAAAAGAAUCACUACUGUCUAAUGUUCCUGUGUCACCUGGACCUCCAAUCCAAAAACCUGAUGAAACUCUUCUAUCAGAAAGGAGGACAGCUAGCAAAAAGACUUCAAACAAUUAAUGAUCAAAUGACAGAAGGCAUGGAUGAAGUCAGCAUCAGUGAGGUCAUUUGAAGACACCAAUGUUGGGAUUUGUGCUCUCAAACAACAUGCUUCUUGUGAUGAAGAAGAGGAUCUUUGUAUAGUCCUUGAAGCCAUGAAGGUGUUGCAACAUCGUGUUUGAGCUGAUGUAUGCCUUAAACCUGAGCUAUCCUGAUCUCCGCUUUAUUUUGGAGGAAAUCCAAACUGCAUUGAGAGUAACUUUAACAAACAGUUUCUUUCAGUGAAAGGAUCAGAAAGACACUGCUGCUCAUUUUUGACUCUUUUUUUAUCUGUUUUAAGUGUUUUCUCUUAUUAAUACAUUAACAGUUUGCUGCUCAGAGUCGAUUUUGGAAAUGGUUGUUGUAUUUUGUUUUUGUUGAAUCUUUGAUUAACAGUUUAUAAAUGCUGUAGCUCUGACUUUCUGAAGGAGUGAUAUUUUCCAGUUUGUAAAUCCAUUUUAUAAAUAAUAGUACUUACUGUUUUGCAUGUCUCUUUGGAAUGCAGUGUUUGUGCUUUAGCACUUCUAAAUCUACUGUGAUAGUAACUAUUUUAAACAUUUGGGUCAGUUUCACAGAUGGGGCUUUUCCUAGUCCCAGACUUUUGCAAUGCCAUAUAUCAGUGCCAUUGUUUUGUCUAAAGAUGUACUCCAGUGUUGUUUUUGUAAGGUAGGUUUGUUUGUAAACUUUAUUUUUGUAAAAAUAUCCUAAUAUAACUAGGGCCUAGUCAUGGCUUAAUCUACAACCUGUUUGGGAAAUUGCCCCUUUAUGUAUGUACUGCAUGUGCUGAUUGUUGUAAUAG